AAAGUCGUAACAAGGUUUCCGUAGGUGAACCUGCGGAAGGAUCAUUAACGAAUAGAACAAAGUGACCUCGGCUGAUGCUGGCUCCUCGGAGCACGUGCACGCCCCGGCUCGCGCCUUCAAUUCGCUUCACCCCCUUGUGCACUCGAUGUAGGUCGUCGAUGUCGACGCCUAUGAAUUUUCGUCUUUGUACGCACCCCGAUUGCAUGUAUAAGCGCAGCUUUAUUUGAUAACACAAAAUACAACUUUCAACAACGGAUCUCUUGGCUCUC
rnacentral:misc_RNA from 1 species